rnacentral:rRNA from 1 species
UAGGGAAUCUUCGGCAAUGGACGGAAGUCUGACCGAGCAACGCCGCGUGAGUGAAGAAGGUUUUCGGAUCGUAAAGCCCUGUUGUUAGAGAAGAACGUUGGUAGGAGUGGAAAAUCUACCAAGUGACGGUAACUAACCAGAAAGGGACGGCUAACUACGUGCCAGCAGCCGCGGUAAUACGUAGGUCCCGAGCGUUGUCCGGAUUUAUUGGGCGUAAAGCGAGCGCAGGCGGUUCUUUAAGUCUGAAGUUAAAGGCAGUGGCUUAACCAUUGUACGCUUUGGAAGCUGGAAGACUUGAGUGCAGAAGGGGGGAGUGGAAUUCCAUGUGUAGCGGUGAAAUGCGUUGAUAUAUGGAGGAACACCGGUGGCGAAAGCGGCUCUCUGGUCUGUAACUGACGCCGAGGCUCGAAAGCGUGGGGAGAAAACAGG